rnacentral:miRNA from 1 species
CGAGAUACGGAGAGAUUGCGACA